AGAGCGAACGCUGGCGGCAGGCCCAACACAUGCAAGUCGAGCGCCCGUAGCAAUACGGGAGCGGCAGACGGGAUAGUAACACGUGGGAACGCGCCCUUCGGUUCGGAAUAACUCAGGGAAACUUGAGCUAAUACCGGAUACGCCCUUACGGGGAAAGAUUUAUUGCCGAAGGAACGGCCCGCGUCCGAUUAGCUAGUUGGUGAGGUAAUGGCUCACCAAGGCGACGAUCGGUAGCUGGUCUGAGAGGAUGACCAGCAUCACUGGGACUGAGACACGGCCCAGACUCCUACGGGAGGCAGCAGUGGGGAAUAUUGGACAAUGGGCGCAAGCCUGAUCCAGCCAUGCCGCGUGGAUGAUGAAGGCCUUAGGGUUGUAAAGUCCUUUUAACGGGGAAGAUAAUGACGGUACCCGUAGAAUAAGCCCCGGCUAACUUCGCGCCAGCAGCCGC
rnacentral:rRNA from 1 species